rnacentral:rRNA from 1 species
GAACUCUAAUGAAACUGCCGCCGUAAGGCGUGAGGAAGGAGGGGAUGAUGUCAAGUCAUCAUGGCCUUUAUGCCCAGGGCUACACACGUGCUACAAUGGGAAGUACAAAGGGUUGCUACCUGGUGACAGGACGUUAAUCUUAAAAAACUUCUCUUAGUUCAGAUUGCAGGCUGUAACUCGUUUGUAUGAAGCUGGAAUCGCUAGUAAUCGUAGAUCAGCAAUGCUACGGUGAAUACGUUCCCGGACCUUGUACACACCGCCCGUCAAGCCAUGGAAGCCGGGGGGACCUGAAGUCGGUAACCGCAAGGAGCCGCCUAGGGUAAGACCGGUAACUGGGGCUAAGUCGUAACAAGGUAGCCG